GCAGGCUGCAACUCGCCUGCAUGAAGUCGGAAUUGCUGUAAUCGCAGAUCAGCAUGCUGCGGUGAAUACGUUCCCGGGCCUUGUACACACCGCCCGUCACACCAUGGGAGUCGGUAGCACCCGAAGUCGGUAGUCUAACCGAAAGGAGGACGCCGCCGAAGGUGGGAUUGAUGACUGGGGUGAAGUCGUAACAAGGUAUC
rnacentral:rRNA from 1 species